UACAGAGGGGGCAAGCGUUGUUCGGAAUUACUGGGCGUAAAGGGCGCGUAGGCGGCCUUCUAAGUCGAACGUGAAAUCCCCGGGCUCAACCCGGGAACUGCGUCCGAUACUGGAAGGCUUGAAUCCGGGGAGAGGGAUGCGGAAUUCCAGGUGUAGCGGUGAAAUGCGUAGAUAUCUGGAGGAACACCGGUGGCGAAGGCGGCAUCCUGGACCGGCAUUGACGCGUGAGGCGCGAAAGCCAGGGGAGCAAAGCGGG
rnacentral:rRNA from 1 species